GGAAGCGUGGCCGAGUGGCUGAAGGCAGUGACUUGCUAAGUCGCAGGGCCCCGACGGGUCCCGCGGGUUCGAAUCCCGCCGCUUCUG
rnacentral:tRNA from 1 species